GUGGAUGCCAUAAUUGAGAGAAUA
rnacentral:siRNA from 1 species